rnacentral:rRNA from 1 species
GACAUAGGUUGCGAACGUUAUCCGGAAUUAUUGGGCCUAAAGCAUCCGUAGCCGGUUCUGCAAGUCCCCCGUUAAAUCCAGCUGCUCAACAGAUGGGCCGCGGAGGAUACUACAGAGCCAGGAGGCAGGAGAGGCAAGCGGUACUCAGUGGGUAGGGGUAAAAUCCGUUGAUCCAUUGAAGACCACCAGUGGCGAAGGCGGCUUGCCAGAAUGCGCUCGACGGUGAGGGAUGAAAGCUGGGGGAGCAAACCGG